GGUUAAGCGACUAAGCGUACACGGUGGAUGCCCUGGCAGUCAGAGGCGAUGAAGGACGUGCUAAUCUGCGAAAAGCGCCGGCGAGGUGAUAUGAACCUUUGACCCGGCGAUGUCCGAAUGGGGAAACCCAGUGUGAUUCGUCACACUAUCGUUAACUGAAUACAUAGGUUAACGAGGCGAACCGGGGGAACUGAAACAUCUAAGUACCCGAGGAAAAGAAAUCAACCGAGAUUCCCCCAGUAGCGGCGAGCGAACGGGGAGCAGCCCAGAGUCUGAAUCAGCUUGUGUGUUAGUGGAACGGUCUGGAAAGUCCGGCGAUACAGGGUGACAGCCCCGUACACGAAAGCACACAGGCUGUGAACUCGAAGAGUAGGGCGGGACACGUGGUAUCCUGUCUGAAUAUGGGGGGACCAUCCUCCAAGGCUAAAUACUCCUGACUGACCGAUAGUGAACCAGUACCGUGAGGGAAAGGCGAAAAGAACCCCGGCGAGGGGAGUGAAAAAGAACCUGAAACCGUGUACGUACAAGCAGUGGGAGCACCUUCGUGGUGUGACUGCGUACCUUUUGUAUAAUGGGUCAGCGACUUAUAUUCUGUAGCAAGGUUAACCGUAUAGGGGAGCCGAAGGGAAACCGAGUCUUAACUGGGCGUUAAGUUGCAGGGUAUAGACCCGAAACCCGGUGAUCUAGCCAUGGGCAGGUUGAAGGUUGGGUAACACUAACUGGAGGACCGAACCGACUAAUGUUGAAAAAUUAGCGGAUGACUUGUGGCUGGGGGUGAAAGGCCAAUCAAACCGGGAGAUAGCUGGUUCUCCCCGAAAGCUAUUUAGGUAGCGCCUCGUGAACUCAUCUUCGGGGGUAGAGCACUGUUUCGGCUAGGGGGCCAUCCCGGCUUACCAACCCGAUGCAAACUACGAAUACCGAAGAAUGUUAUCACGGGAGACACACGGCGGGUGCUAACGUCCGUCGUGAAGAGGGAAACAACCCAGACCGCCAGCUAAGGUCCCAAAGUCAUGGUUAAGUGGGAAACGAUGUGGGAAGGCACAGACAGCCAGGAUGUUGGCUUAGAAGCAGCCAUCAUUUAAAGAAAGCGUAAUAGCUCACUGGUCGAGUCGGCCUGCGCGGAAGAUGUAACGGGGCUAAACCAUGCACCGAAGCUGCGGCAGCGACGCUUAUGCGUUGUUGGGUAGGGGAGCGUUCUGUAAGCCGUUGAAGGUGUGCUGUGAGGCAUGCUGGAGGUAUCAGAAGUGCGAAUGCUGACAUAAGUAACGAUAAAGCGGGUGAAAAGCCCGCUCGCCGGAAGACCAAGGGUUCCUGUCCAACGUUAAUCGGGGCAGGGUGAGUCGACCCCUAAGGCGAGGCCGAAAGGCGUAGUCGAUGGGAAACAGGUUAAUAUUCCUGUACUUGGUGUUACUGCGAAGGGGGACGGAGAAGGCUAUGUUAGCCGGGCGACGGUUGUCCCGGUUUAAGCAUGUAGGCGGAACGAUUAGGUAAAUCCGGUCGUUUAUUAACGCUGAGGUGUGAUGACGAGGCACUACGGUGCUGAAGUAACAAAUGCCCUGCUUCCAGGAAAAGCCUCUAAGCAUCAGGUAACAUCAAAUCGUACCCCAAACCGACACAGGUGGUCAGGUAGAGAAUACCAAGGCGCUUGAGAGAACUCGGGUGAAGGAACUAGGCAAAAUGGUGCCGUAACUUCGGGAGAAGGCACGCUGAUAUGUAGGUGAAGCCCCUGCGGGUGGAGCUGAAAUCAGUCGAAGAUACCAGCUGGCUGCAACUGUUUAUUAAAAACACAGCACUGUGCAAACACGAAAGUGGACGUAUACGGUGUGACGCCUGCCCGGUGCCGGAAGGUUAAUUGAUGGGGUUAGCGGCAACGCGAAGCUCUUGAUCGAAGCCCCGGUAAACGGCGGCCGUAACUAUAACGGUCCUAAGGUAGCGAAAUUCCUUGUCGGGUAAGUUCCGACCUGCACGAAUGGCGUAAUGAUGGCCAGGCUGUCUCCACCCGAGACUCAGUGAAAUUGAACUCGCUGUGAAGAUGCAGUGUACCCGCGGCAAGACGGAAAGACCCCGUGAACCUUUACUAUAGCUUGACACUGAACACUGGUCCUUGAUGUGUAGGAUAGGUGGGAGGCUUUGAAGCGUGGACGCCAGUCUGCGUGGAGCCAACCUUGAAAUACCACCCUUUAAUGGCUGGUGUUCUAACGUAGACCCGUAAUCCGGGUUGCGGACAGUGUCUGGUGGGUAGUUUGACUGGGGCGGUCUCCUCCCAAAGAGUAACGGAGGAGCACGAAGGUUAGCUAAUCCUGGUCGGACAUCAGGAGGUUAGUGCAAUGGCAUAAGCUAGCUUGACUGCGAGAGUGACGGCUCGAGCAGGUGCGAAAGCAGGUCAUAGUGAUCCGGUGGUUCUGAAUGGAAGGGCCAUCGCUCAACGGAUAAAAGGUACUCCGGGGAUAACAGGCUGAUACCGCCCAAGAGUUCAUAUCGACGGCGGUGUUUGGCACCUCGAUGUCGGCUCAUCACAUCCUGGGGCUGAAGUAGGUCCCAAGGGUAUGGCUGUUCGCCAUUUAAAGUGGUACGCGAGCUGGGUUUAGAACGUCGUGAGACAGUUCGGUCCCUAUCUGCCGUGGGCGCUGGAGAAUUGAGGGGGGCUGCUCCUAGUACGAGAGGACCGGAGUGGACGCAUCACUGGUGUUCGGGUUGUCAUGCCAAUGGCACUGCCCGGUAGCUAAAUGCGGAAAAGAUAAGUGCUGAAAGCAUCUAAGCACGAAACUUGCCCCGAGAUGAGUUCUCCCUGACCCUUUAAGGGUCCUGAAGGAACGUUGAAGACUACGACGUUGAUAGGUCGGGUGUGUAAGCGCAGCGAUGCGUUGAGCUAACCGAUACUAAUGAACCGUGAGGCUUAACCUU
rnacentral:rRNA from 1 species